CUUCUCCACAGGCCAUGCCGUCUGCUUCCUACUUAGGACUUUCAGUCUUGCUGAUAUUGAGAGGGAUCAAUGGAGACUCAGUGACCCAGACAGAAGGUCCUGUUACCCUCUUUGAGGGGACACCUUUGACCCUGAAUUGCACUUACCAGAGCACCUACACAGUUUUUGUUUUCUGGUAUGCCCAGUACCCAAACAAAGCUCCUCAAUUGCUCCUGAAAAGCUUAUCAGAAAACCAGAGGGCAGAGCAUCACGGUUUUCACGCCAGUCUUGUUAAGAGUGACAGCUCCUUCCACCUGCAGAAACGCUCUGUGAGAAUGUCAGACUCCGCUGUGUACUACUGCGUCCUAGGAGGCACAUUCCAGGAAUACAACAUGCUACCAGGUGGCCUUGAACGUCCUUCUAGUGCUUGCUUCUCUCUACAGCUGCCCCAAGAUGAGACCCUCAGCGUCUCACAUCUGGUUUUCUGUAACAGCCUUUUAACUAGCCUCCUUACUACCAACGUCUCCUCCCUGGAUCCUACUCCAUAUACCAGUGAAUAA